CCCUUAGAUGUCCUGGGCCGCACGCGCGCUACACUGAUGCAUGCAACGAGUUUAUAACCUUGGCCUGAAAGGUCUGGGUAAUCUUUUGAACGUGCAUCGUGAUAGGGAUAGAUUAUUGCAAUUGUUAAUCUUGAACGAGGAAUUCCUAGUAAACGCGAGUCAUCAGCUCGCAUUGAUUACGUCCCUGCCCUUUGUACACACCGCCCGUCGCUCCUACCGAUCGAAGAGUUAGGUGAAUUGUUUUGAUCGAUAAGAUUUGACUAUGGUCAACUCUCGUUGUGAAAUUCUGUGAAUCUGACUGUUUAGAGGAAGGAAAAGUCGUAACA
rnacentral:rRNA from 1 species